AGAGUUUGAUCCUGGCUCAGGAUGAACGCUAGCGGCAGGCUUAAUACAUGCAAGUCGUGGGGCAGCACAGGUAGCAAUACUGGGUGGCGACCGGCAAACGGGUGCGGAACACGUACGCAACCUUCCUUUAAGCGGGGGAUAGCCCAGGGAAACUUGGAUUAAUACCCCAUAAAAAUGUAGAGUGGCAUCACUUAACAUUU
rnacentral:rRNA from 1 species